UGCUCCUAAUUGAUUUUCUUGAAACCAAAAUUCAGUAGAGCACGAUUAAAGCGAUCAAAGCUUCGAAACAUCAGUUGUCUCUCAUUCGUUAGAAUGGAGAUGAACAAGCGUAAGUUUUGUUUCGUUAUUUACCAAGUUCAAAUUUGUAAAGAACAAAACAAUAACUUGCCCAAUGUUCAUAUAAUUUAUAGCUCAUUCGACUAUCGGAUCAGGAUUCCCCUUAUUCCUUAGUGUAUUUUUAUCAUUUUAACAUAUGAGGAAGAGAUAAAACUUGGAUGCGUGUCCUAAUUAAAUGUUGUAGGGAUUUCAACACAUUAACUUGGCAAGUUGAGAGAGUUAGCAUCAUUUCAUAAAUUUGUCAUUAAGAAACAUUCCUUGCCAUUUUAAUUCUGCCAAAAUUUUCAGUCUACUAUUUCUUGGCAAAAUUUGUAGAAAUUCCAAUUUUUCACUUAACUUUCAGUAACUGUUAUUCUUUGAUUUAUCACCAGUGAAAUAUGUUUUUCUUCUUAUUAUUUAGAAUACAAUUGGAGCCACAUGUAGACUCCUGCUGAUACCGUUAGAUUAUAAGUUUUGGUGGUAUUUGGCGUCUUCUUUCCUUUUUACUUUUCUACGUUGUCUUUUUCCUUGUUUAACUUAACUUAUUCUGUCCAUUAUGGUAUACAUUGGUACUCCACAAGUCUUUUUCUUAUAUGUUAUUUUUUAAAACGGAAAAGGGUCAUAUAUGCCCCUCUAUUUUAUUUUAUUGUUGAACUUAAUCCUCAUUAUACUUUUUCGCCAUACAUAUCCUUACCGUCCGGUAAAGUUCUAAAUAUAUCCUUAGUUUGACGGAGAUGCCACGUGGCGUCGUUUGAGAGGAAGAACCAACCAACAUAAAAAUACCCGUACCCGCCCCAUAACCCGUCGGAUCCCCGUUCCAAAUUAAAAACCUCUCCCAUCAGCAAAAAUGGAGAAAAUCUAAUGCUCAACUUCCACGGGAACGACCAUCCAAAUAGGGUGUUAAUAAACAACACAAAUGUUGCUGGAAAACAAUCAAACCGUCGGUCAAUUGGUCACUCGUUUGUCGCUACACAUGAACAAUGCGUUUCAACCGACAUGACCAAAAAAAUAAGAACAGCCACCGACUACCGUCCCUGCCAAAAACCCCACCUAGAUGUGAUGUUGAUGUUUUUUGGAAAAUAGAGAAAUUACUUUUGCUGCUGCCACAUGGUGCUCUUUCUUUCUUGAACAUCAUUACAGCCACUUCCGGACGUUCUGAUAUCAGGAGAAAAGUGCUCCUGCAUGGAAGCCUCACAGUUGGUGUUUAGUAUUUCCUUUUGUUUGCCAAGUAUUCAUUUUACCGCGGAAAUUGAGGCAAUGUUGCAGGUAUUACCAAUCUUGGCCUGAUAAAAUGCUGGUUCUUUUUCACUUUGUGAUAAUUGUUUUUUGUUAAUUCCCCCUCCUGUUUGAUUUGUCUUUGUCUAACAGUUGUCGAUGUGUUCUCUAACCCAUUCAAAACAAUAGCAUCUUCGUGUUUUUGUUUCCUAUGCUAGCCUUCUAUUCACCUCCAAGUUUAGAUGUCAUCUCUCUUUUGCACAUCAUUUAUUCGAAAUUUCAAACUUUUUGGUGCUGUAUCAACUGUAUCAACAUUAUCAUGUUUAAAUAUUUUACUGUAAUUCUUUUUUUAUCGUUUUCCCAUUUCUCUGUGUGUGUGUGUGUUUUUUUUUUUUUUAUGGGGCUGUAUGAAUGGUUUGCUGUAUUCACAGAAACAUAAGUAUAAAGUUGCUAAUCAAGGCGACACAUUUCCUUUAAUUUUUUUUCCCUUUUUUUAUUUGCUCUUCUUCAAUUUUCUGUGUGCUUGUGGGUAUGUUUUCUUUUGCUGGGAUGCCUUUUCACCUAAUUAGGUUUUUGUUUUGUUGAGGGCAAUACCAACGUGCUAUUUGACCUUUUGCUGCUGUAAAGUUGGAUUGAGUAGAAUUUCCUUUCCAUUUUAACUGCAAAUGUGUAUGGUGUAUGGAGUUCUAUAUGCCUGCUUUAUGUUUUCUCAAGAAAGUAUGUUAGAUUUCUCAGUGCUUUAAUGAUCGCUCAAUUUUAUAGACAGCAUUACCUGAAACUUCUAUUCUUCAAUAUUAUAUUUUUACAAACACUAAUUAUUCACCUUGUUUACCUUAUAAAGUAGGUCCCAGUGUCAUGGAAGAUCACAACAAAAGCGCCUGCACCUCGGCCAUCAAUGCAUCGCAUAUUCUUAAUAUAUAGAUAGAAUAUACAUAAAUAUCCUAUAAAUCUGUGGUCAGCUUGUUAAACUCAGCUCCUUAUCAAAUAUCAAUAAGCAUAUCUUUGUAAUCUUAUUAUGUGUGCAGCUUCUGUGUUGCUUUUAAUCGAAAGAUUUUGUCAUCAUUAUUCCACUUUGUGCAAAUAAAGCUGAUUGUGUAUCCGCUAAAUUUCCUCCAUGUUGGACCCGGCUGGCACGGGCCAUACACCGCUAGUAUAUAUUAGAAGAGCCAUGGUUUCGAUAUGGCUGCUUCAUUGAUUAAAAAUCUCAACUUAAGGGCAUAGUGGACUUUUCAGUUAUCAACUUAUACAUGUCUUCUUUAAUCCUACUGGAACAACCACGUGGCGUAUCCUCCACAGCUAAGUUCUGUUUCAUACACUUCUAACAUUUUCUUUCGUUCCUUUUCCAUGUUAAUCUUUUGUAAACCCGAACUGGUUAAUUUUGCAAAUCUGAAUUGGUUUAUCUCUAAUGACUGGGGAAGUAACAGGUGAAAGGUUUAUGGAAGCGAUGUAUCAUAUUGAUUAGGGGACUUUGUGAUUUUAACCUGGGAUUCUAAGUUGGAGAUUUUGAGAUGGUUUAAUAUUUGGUGCUACUUUUCCGGGUUCUGUUUCCAUUGAAUCAAAGGAGUGCAAUUCCUAUUUGGUAUGUUCUGUGUUUUGUGAAUGCUAUUGAAUUUCCAUUUUUUAGUGUGCUAUUCCUGAAUUUCAAAGUAAGCAUCAUUCACCCUUUUUCCUCUAACAUCAUUUUUUCCCUUAUAAUAUUGUGACAGCAAUCAGAGAUCACUAACAUCUUCAAAGAUUAGCAGUCAGUUAUCGAUUGUUGUAAUAAGAUCUCUAAAUUCUGAUAAGUUUUUCCCUUCAAUCCAUUUUUUUUAAUUCCACUUGUUUGCUGGUAAUUUCUUGCUGAAUUGUAUCUGAUCUACACAUGCUUGUCUUGAGAUAGAUAUGUCGGGUGUUGCUUGUUGUAUUUUUUGAUUAAUUUUCUCCUUUGGCACGAAUUAAUUAAUGCAACAUUAAAUUCUAUUUGUUCAGAAUAUCUUGAACCGCCGCCCUGGAAUUACAGGAGAAGACGCACAAGGAAAGAGGGAGGAUUAGUGAUAUGCAGUUAAUGCUAAAAUACGCUUGGUAUGAGGCCUACAGAUAAAAAGCCAUGUUGCCAACUUGCUGCUCCAAACAAAGGAAGAUGCAGUACUCAACAGAAAGAGCUUCCAAAAUCAAGCAAGCGGAAGUCUUUCUUUUUGUGUAGCACUAAUAGCUUUAGUACAAUUUUUUUUUAAUCUCUUUCCUUAAUUCUUUAGGUAGCUACUUUCUGGUUGCAUUUAAAGAGGCCAACAUUGAAGGCUUGUAUCACAUUCCUAAGGAAUGUGUAUUCGUAGAAAUGGAGGAAUUUGAGUAUCUGUGCUUUACAAUUCUAGAGGGCAGAGACUAAAGCCUUCUUUUGAUUUUUUUUUCCUCAAUGUAUAUGCUGCAUUUAUAUACUUUUGAUGUCCAUCAUUUUGUAUAUUGUGCUCAA